rnacentral:rRNA from 1 species
GACGAAGGGGGCUAGCGUUGCUCGGAAUCACUGGGCGUAAAGCGCACGUAGGCGGACUCUUAAGUCGGUGGUGAAAUCCUGGAGCUCAACUCCAGAACUGCCUUCGAUACUGAGAGUCUUGAGUUCGGGAGAGGUGAGUGGAACUGCGAGUGUAGAGGUGAAAUUCGUAGAUAUUCGCAAGAACACCAGUGGCGAAGGCGGCUCACUGGCCCGAUACUGACGCUGAGGCACGAAAGCGUGGGGAGCAAACAGG